rnacentral:lncRNA from 1 species
UUUGGCCUUUGGCAAUUCAGUAAACAUUUUAGCAAUUUCUUCUUUCCUGCCUGCUGAAGACUGACUUCCUCCUGCUGCCAAAGUUCUAGAGUCUGGACGUCUGAGAUCAGGGUGCCAGCACUGUCGAGGUCACAGACUGCAGACCUCCUUGUAUCUUCAAAUGGAGGAAAGAGGACAAGAGAGCUCCUGUGGUCCCUUUUAUCAAGAUGAAUGCACAAGGAAAAUGUUGUACAUUUGCACAUUGGAGUACACUUCAGCCAUAAAAAGAAUGAGAUGCUGUCAUUUGCAACAACAGGCCUGAUAAUAUUGAACAUCCUUGCAUCCAUUAAAGUUUACUGUUCUAAGACUUACUUUAACCAAG